rnacentral:rRNA from 1 species
UACGUAGGGUCCGAGCGUUGUCCGGAGUUACUGGGCGUAAAGCGCGCGCAGGCGGUCGCUCAAGCGGCACGUGAAAGCCCCGGGCUUAACUCGGGAGGGUCGUGGCGAACUGGGCGACUUGAGGCCGGUAGAGGUGGGUGGAACUCCUGGUGGAGUGGUGAAAUGCGUAGAGAUCAGGAAGAACACCCGUGGCGAAGGCGGCCCACUGGGCCGGUACUGACGCUGAGGCGCGAAGGCGUGGGGAGCGAACGGG